rnacentral:rRNA from 1 species
GAUGAACGCUGGCGGCGUGCCUAAUACAUGCAAGUCGAGCGAACGGACGAGAAGCUUGCUUCUCUGAUGUUAGCGGCGGACGGGUGAGUAACACGUGGAUAACCUACCUAUAAGACUGGGAUAACUUCGGGAAACCGGAGCUAAUACCGGAUGAUAUUUUGAACCGCAUGGUUCAAAAGUGAAAGACGGUCUUGCUGUCACUUAUAGAUGGAUCCGCGCUGCAUUAGCUAGUUGGUAAGGUAACGGCUUACCAAGGAAACGAUGCAUAGCCGACCUGAGAGGGUGAUCGGUCACACUGGAACUGAGACACGGUCCAGACUCCUACGGGAGGCAGCAGUAGGGAAUCUUCCGCAAUGGGCGAAAGCCUGACGGAGCAACGCCGCGUGAGUGAUGAAGGUCUUCGGAUCGUAAAACUCUGUUAUUAGGGAAGAACAUAUGUGUAAGUAACUGUGCACAUCUUGACGGUACCUAAUCAGAAAGCCACGGCUAACUACGUG